rnacentral:rRNA from 1 species
GAUGAACGCUGGCGGCGUGCCUAAUACAUGCAAGUCGAGCGAACGGACGAGAAGCUUGCUUCUCUGAUGUUAGCGGCGGAUGGGUGAGUAACACGUGGAUAACCUACCUAUAAGACUGGGAUAACUUCGGGAAACCGUAGCUAAUACCGGAUAAUAUUUUGAACCGCAUGGUUCAAAAGUGAAAGACGGUCUUGCUGUCACUUAUAGAUGGAUCCGCGCUGCAUUAGCUAGUUGGUAAGGUAACGGCUUACCAAGGCAACGAUGCAUAGCCGACCUGAGAGGGUGAUCGGCCACACUGGAACUGAGACACGGUCCAGACUCCUACGGGAGGCAGCAGUAGGGAAUCUUCCGCAAUGGGCGAAAGCCUGACGGAGCAACGCCGCGUGAGUGAUGAAGGUCUUCGGAUCGUAAAACUCUGUUAUUAGGGAAGAACAUAUGUGUAAGUAACUGUGCACAUCUUGACGGUACCUAAUCAGAAAGCCACGGCUAACUACGU